GGUAGCUGGGAUAAAAGAGGGUGGGUUGGGCAGCCAGGGAGAGCCUUGGAGGAUCCCUGAUGAAGCAGGAAUAACACUACUGUGAAGAGUUGCAUAUGAAAAAACCACCCAGAAGAGAAAAUAUGGAGACUGACAAACACGGUGAAGAAAAGCUGUACUGAGCCCUGAUCCUGAGCAGGAAAAAGCAUGCAACAUAUUUCUGAAACAAAGUGGUUCUGCUGGAUUAAGACAUACUGCUAGAAAAUAAGAGCUGUCUCCAAGUCCGACCAGGAUUAUCAAAAAUAUCAUAGCCUUGGCAAUGGACUCACAUAACUUCAAUCAGUUCAACUGAUUAAGGAAGAGAAGGCCAACCAGGUUUUAAUAGUUUAAAAAAUCCCCUGUAAAUCUUUAAACUUGAAUUCUGAUAAAGAUUUAGAGUUUGCCAGACUCAUUAAAGGCUGAAACAUGCACCAUUCCUUUUAUAAUCUACAAGGACCUGAAAAUAUGUUUGUAAAUGUCCAGAUAAAUGAAAUGUAGUUUUUGUAAUGAAAAUAAAUAAACAAGGGAAAGCAGGAAAUGGGUUGAAAUUGUCUUGUUUGGAGAUCCAUGAUCAAACUGUUAAAGCUGUACUAAGGCCUCUUAAGAAUGGA